rnacentral:rRNA from 1 species
AACGAACGCUGGCGGCAGGCUUAACACAUGCAAGUCGAACGCAUCCUUCGGGGUGAGUGGCAGACGGGUGAGUAACGCGUGGGAACGUGCCCUUCAGUUCGGGAUAACCCAGGGAAACUUGGGCUAAUACCGGAUACGUGCGAGAGCAGAAAGAUUUAUCGGUGAAGGAGCGGCCCGCGUCUGAUUAGCUAGUUGGUGGGGUAAUGGACCACCAAGGGGACGAUCAGUAGCUGGUCUGAGAGGAUGAUCAGCCACAUUGGGACUGAGACACGGCCCGAACUCCUACGGGAGGCAGCAGUGGGGAAUAUUGGACAAUGGGCGCAAGGCUGAUCCAGCCAUGCCGCGUGAGUGAUGAAGGCCUUAGGGUUGUAAAGCUCUUUCGUCCGGGACGAUAAUGACGGUACCGGAAGAAGAAGCCCCGGCUAACUUCGUGCCAGCAGCCGCCGUAA